rnacentral:rRNA from 1 species
UACGAAGGGGGCUAGCGUUGCUCGGAAUUACUGGGCGUAAAGCGCACGUAGGCGGCUUUCUAAGUCGGGGGUGAAAUCCUGGAGCUCAACUCCAGAACUGCCUUCGAUACUGGAGAGCUCGAGUCCGGGAGAGGUGAGUGGAACUGCGAGUGUAGAGGUGAAAUUCGUAGAUAUUCGCAAGAACACUAGUGGCGAAGGCGGCUCACUGGCCCGGUA